rnacentral:rRNA from 1 species
UACGUAGGGUGCAAGCGUUAAUCGGAAUUACUGGGCGUAAAAGCGUGCGUAGGCGGUUCGUUAAGUCAGCUGUGAAAGCCCCGGGCUCAACCUGGGAAUUGCGGUUGAAACUGGCGAACUAGAAUCUGGCAGAGGGGGGUGGAAUUCCACGUGUAGCAGUGAAAUGCGUAGAGAUGUGGAGGAACACCGAUGGCGAAGGCAGCCCCCUGGGCUGAGAUUGACGCGUCAGGCACGAAAGCGUGGGGAGCAAACAGG